UGGUAAUUAGUUUAAACAAAACAAAUGAUUUCGACUCAUUAAACCAUGGUUAUAACCAUGAAUACCAA
rnacentral:tRNA from 1 species